rnacentral:rRNA from 1 species
GAUGAACGCUGGCGGCGUGCCUAACACAUGCAAGUCGAACGGAGUCGUUUUGGAAAUCUCUUCGGAGAUGGAAUUCUCGACUUAGUGGCGGACGGGUGAGUAACGCGUGAGCAAUCUGCCUUUAGAGGGGGAUAACAGUCGGAAACGGCUGCUAAUACCGCAUAAAGCAUUAAAUUCGCAUGUUUUUGAUGCCAAAGGAGCAAUCCGCUUUUAGAUGAGCUCGCGUCUGAUUAGCUAGUUGGCGGGGUAACGGCCCACCAAGGCGACGAUCAGUAGCCGGACUGAGAGGUUGAACGGCCACAUUGGGACUGAGACACGGCCCAGACUCCUACGGGAGGCAGCAGUGGGGAAUAUUGCGCAAUGGGGGAAACCCUGACGCAGCAACGCCGCGUGAUUGAAGAAGGCCUUCGGGUUGUAAAGAUCUUUAAUCAGGGACGAAACAAAUGACGGUACCUGAAGAAUAAGCUCCGGCUAACUACGUG